GACCAGAUAGCUCAGUUGGUAGAGCACGAGAUUAUUAAUCUCAGGUUUGUGAGUUUGAGCCCCGCGUCGAGCA